GCGCCCCCGCCCGGGGGCCGCCGGGAAGGAGGCGGAAGCACUGGCUGCCCCGAGCGGCCCGGGUGCGGGAGCCCGCUCAGUGGGAGAGCCCAGCGCCCUCCUCGCGGCCCUCGCCCCUCCGGGGAGCGAGCCGUGGAGCCGAUCUAGGCGGGAAUCCUCCCCUGAUGUAGGAACCUCGCACUGCGAGGACGGGCCGCGGUAGUGAACCCUCCCCACACAGGUUAUCCCGUUUAACCUCCAUGGCAACGCUGGGAGGCGGCGGUUACCGCCCUGCUGGGGAGCGAACGCUUGGAGACGUUGAGCGACUUGCGCCGGUCACGUGACGGGAAUAAGUGGAGAUCAGCUGGGCGUGGCUGUCUUUCAAAUUACGAACCGGAGGGCUGAAAUCUCAGAGAACGUGCAGCCACCCAAGAACACCACCAAGAUGAGGCGCAGGGACUCGCUGGAAGCUCUGUCGUCCUUGGUCAUGUCUGUGAGGAUCAAACCAGACUCAACUCUUUCCUGACAUCCAGCCCCCGCUCUUGUUGCCACCCUGCCCCACUGUCAAUGCCACACACCUGUGAAUGCAAACUCGCUGCAGUUGAGCAGCCGGACCACCUCGUCCAGGCCCUGCCAGCUCCGCCGCUCCAGCACCUGGCAAAGCAUAAGCACUGGUUUCAAGUGUGCAGACAGUGUCAGGCUUAGAAGGAAGGGCACAACCACCAAACUGUCACAUUUCUUGCUAGUUAUUUAAGUAAUAAAAAGUUGG